CCUACGGGGGGCUGCAGUCGAGAAUCAUUCACAAUGGGGGAAACCCUGAUGGUGCGACGCCGCGUGGGGGAAUGAAGGUCUUCGGAUUGUAAACCCCUGUCAUGUGGGAGCAAAUUAAAAAGAUAGUACCACAAGAGGAAGAGACGGCUAACUCUGUGCCAGCAGCCGCGGUAAUACAGAGGUCUCAAUCGUUGUUCGGAAUCACUGGGCGUAAAGCGUGCGUAGGCUGUUUCGUAAGUCGUGUGUGAAAGGCGCGGGCUCAACCCGCGGACGGCACAUGAUACUGCGAGACUAGAGUAAUGGAGGGGGAACCGGAAUGCUCGGUGUAGCAGUGAAAUGCGUAGAUAUCGAGAGGAACACUCGUGGCGAAGGCGGGUUACUGGACAUUAACUGACGCUGAGGCACGAAGGCCAGGGGAGCGAAAGGGAUUAGAUACCCUUGUAGUC
rnacentral:rRNA from 1 species